rnacentral:rRNA from 1 species
UGGGGAAUUGUUCGCAAUGGGCGCAAGCCUGACGACGCAACGCCGCGUGGAGGAUGAAGACCUUCGGGUCGUAAACUCCUUUCGAUCGAGACGAACGGCCUCCGGGUGAACAAUCCGGAGGAGUGACGGUACCGAGAGAAGAAGCCCCGGCUAACUCCGUGCCAGCAGCCGCGGUAAUACGGGGGGGGCAAGCGUUGUUCGGAAUUACUGGGCGUAAAGGGCUCGUAGGCGGCCAACUAAGUCAGACGUGAAAUCCCUCGGCUUAACCGGGGAACUGCGUCUGAUACUGGAUGGCUGGAGUUUGGGAGAGGGAUGCGGAAUUCCAGGUGUAGCGGUGAAAUGCGUAGAUAUCUGGAGGAACACCGGUGGCGAAGGCGGCAUCCUGGACCAACACUGACGCUGAGGAGCGAAAGCCAGGGGAGCAAACGGG